rnacentral:rRNA from 1 species
AGGACUAACGCUGGCGGCGUGCCUAACACAUGCAAGUCGAACGUCCUGUCUCGCAAGAGGCAGGGAGUGGCGGACGGGUGAGUACCACGUGGGUCAUCUACCGUGAGGUGAGGAAUACCGGCGAGAAAUCGCCGACAAGACCGCAUAGGCUCGAUGCAAGUCGAGCAAAGCUCUUUCGAGAGAGGGAGCGCCACACGAGGAGCCUGCGCCCGAUUAGCUAGCUGGUGGAGUAACGGUUCACCAGGGCGACGAUCGGUAGCUGGUCUGAGAGGACGAUCAGCCACACUGGGAUUGAGAACGGCCCAGACUCCUACGGGGGGCAGCAGUGAGGAAUUUUCGUCAAUGGGGGCAACCCUGAACGAGCAACGCCGCGUGCAGGAGAAGGUUUUCGGAUCGUAAACUGCUUUUCUCGGGGAAGAGACGGACGGUACCCGAGGAAUCGAGCCCCGGCUAACUACGCGCCAGCAGCCGC